CAAUCAGUUUAGGAUAUUCCUGAACGAGCACAGAAUACAUGUACAGCCGGGGUUAGGAUUAACAAAUUGAGGGGUGCAAACAAAAGAAAUUAAAAAUUCUUAUCCACAAUACUCCUUCGUUUCCUCCGUAUUCCCAGGCCUCAUUGACGGGCCCAAGCCUUUUCACUUGGAUUCUGAGCACUCGAAGAGCUCUCAUGGCGACCUCCUUCUCUCCUGCAACUUCUCUACGCUCCAUUCUCCAACCCAAGCAAAAACCCCUCAUCUCCUUUCGAGUUUACAAUUUUACAGAAUCAUAUGGUGGAGGGGUUUGUGCGAAAUGUCAGCCGAGCAGGGUUAGUGUGUGCUCAUGGGGCUCAUCCUCUAGCUACGUCAGUCUUCAGGAUGGUACCGCUAAGCUUUCUUGUUCUGGAACGCUUAUUCUUCCGAGGCGUUUGUUGCGAAAAAGAGGCAGCAUUGUGAGGGCGGCUACUAUUGAAGAAAUAGAAGCAGAGAAAUCUUUGAUCGAGAAAGAUGUUAAAGCAAGGAUGGAAAAGACUAUUGAAACGAUGCGCACCAAUUUUAAUUCCAUUAGGACAGGGAGGGCAAACCCAGCAAUGCUGGAUAAGAUUGAGGUGGAGUAUUAUGGAAGUCCAGUUAACUUGAAGACUAUUGCUCAAAUCAGUACUCCUGAUGCAAGUUCUCUCUUGGUGCAGCCAUACGACAAGUCCAGCUUAAAAGCUAUAGAGAAGGCCAUUGUCAGUUCUGAUCUUGGUUUGACACCAAAUAAUGAUGGAGAUGUUAUACGUUUAACUCUCCCUCAACUUACAUCAGACAGAAGGAAGGAACUGUCAAAGGUUGUCGCCAAACAGGCUGAAGAAGGGAAGGUGGCAUUGCGGAACAUACGGAGAGAUGCUUUAAAAGCCUAUGAAAAACUUGAGAAGGAGAAAAAGCUCUCUCAAGAUAAUGUCAAGGACUUGUCAAGUGAUUUGCAGGUAACCGACCCUUUUGCAUGAAACUGACCGAUGAGUAUAUGAAGAAGAUUGAUGCCGUUCUCAAACAGAAGGAGAAGGAUUGAGCAGGAAUGUUGGAGAGUUUUCGUUGUACCUUAUAGUUUGUGUUUCUAUCAUCUUGUCAACUUGGGGAUGAUGGUGCACAAAGUGCCUUGAUGGUCUUGCAAUUUUAGUGGAAAUUAUGAUUCUAAAAUUUAAGAAGUACAGGAAUAAAACCGUUGUUGUUGUUGUUGUUUUUUUUUUUUUUUUUUUUUGUAAAACAAGAAUAAAAUUGUUGUCACAAUAAAGAUCUGGUUUUGACCAAAGAAAGCAACAUUAAUGUAAAAAAUGGAAAAUUAGUUGA